rnacentral:rRNA from 1 species
GAUGAACGCUGGCGGCGUGCCUAAUACAUGCAAGUAGAACGCUGAAGAGAGGAGCUUGCUCUUCUUGGAUGAGUUGCGAACGGGUGAGUAACGCGUAGGUAACCUGCCUUGUAGCGGGGGAUAACUAUUGGAAACGAUAGCUAAUACCGCAUAACAAUGGAUGACACAUGUCAUUUAUUUGAAAGGGGCAAUUGCUCCACUACAAGAUGGACCUGCGUUGUAUUAGCUAGUUGGUGAGGUAACGGCUCACCAAGGCAACGAUACAUAGCCGACCUGAGAGGGUGAUCGGCCACACUGGGACUGAGACACGGCCCAGACUCCUACGGGAGGCAGCAGUAGGGAAUCUUCGGCAAUGGGGGCAACCCUGACCGAGCAACGCCGCGUGAGUGAAGAAGGUUUUCGGAUCGUAAAGCUCUGUUGUAAGAGAAGAACGAGUGUGAGAGUGGAAAGUUCACACU